UACGGAGGAUGCGAGCGUUAUCCGGAUUUAUUGGGUUUAAAGGGCGCGUAGGCGGACUGUCAAGUCAGCGGUAAAAUUGAGAGGCUCAACCUCUUCCCGCCGUUGAAACUGGUGGUCUUGAGUGGAUGAGAAGUACGCGGAAUGCGUAGUGUAGCGGUAAAAUGCAUAGAUAUCACGCAGAACUCCGAUUGCGAAGGCAGCGUACCGGCAUCCAACUGACGCUGAGGCACGAAAGCGUGGGGAUCAAACAGG
rnacentral:rRNA from 1 species